AAUGCCUCACACCUGUAAUCUCAGCACUUUGGGAGGCUGUGGAGGGCAGAUCACUUGAGGUCAGGGUUUUGAGACCAGCCUGUCCAAAAUGGUGAAACCCUGUCUCUAUUAAAAAUACAAAAAUUAGCCAAGCAUGGUGGUGAGCACCUAUAAUCCCAGCUACUUGGGAGGCUGAGGCAUGAGAAUUGCUUGAACCCGGGAGGCAGGGGUUGCAGUGAGCCAAGAUUGCACUGCUGCACUUCAGCCUAGGCAACAGAGCGAGACUCCAUCUCAAAAAAAAAAAAAAAAAAAAAAAUUAAAAAAUUAACAAUUAAAUGUAUCUUUUCUGAAAAAUAAUGCCAAAUAUACAUAUAUAUGUAUAAAUACAUCCAGUGAUUAUUUUUCAGCCUAAUACAUACGAUGAUUUAGAAGAAAUAAGUAAUUUUCUUUAUGUACUAUAAAUAGGUUGUUAAGCUGGCGUUUUAACUAAGGCAACGGGAGUCUAGAGCCUGUUCCAUAUUCUUUAUACAUUCUGCCUCCAAUAAAUGGUAACAGUCAAGUGAAAACUAUUUUUAUAUUAAUCCAUUUGUGCUAUAACAAAAUACCACAGACUGGGUGACUUACAAAUAACAGAAAUUUAUGUCUCACAGUUCUGGAGACUGAAAACCCAAGAUAAAUUGCUGGCAGGGUCCGUGUCUGGUGAGGGUCCAGUCUCAGCUUCCAAGUUGUUGCCUUGUUGUUGCCUUGUUGCUGCAUCUUCCACAGGGGAAGCCUAUGUCUUCACCGGAAGAAAGGCUGUAAAGGGCAAGAGAGCGCUCCUUUCAACCUCAAGCCCUUCUCAUGAAUGAGUGUUAAUCCCAUUCAUGAGAGCGGGAUGGAGACUUCAUAAUUAAAUCACUCCCAAAGGUCACACCUUUUAAUGCUGUUGCAUUGUGGAUUAAGUUUCAACAAGAAUGUUGAAGGGAACAUCAUCAUUCAAACCACUGAAAUUCUCCAUCCCAGUCAUUAUGAAGCUCACUCAUGGAAUUGCCAGUGGAAAAUUUCAGAGAAUCCUCCCAUGGAGCAUGGAUGUUUCAUUACAACCAAG
rnacentral:lncRNA from 1 species